rnacentral:rRNA from 1 species
GACGAACGCUGGCGGCGUGCUUAACACAUGCAAGUCGAACGGAAAGGCCCUGCUUUUGUGGGGUGCUCGAGUGGCGAACGGGUGAGUAACACGUGAGUAACCUGCCCUUGACUUUGGGAUAACUUCAGGAAACUGGGGCUAAUACCGGAUAGGAGCUCCUGCUGCAUGGUGGGGGUUGGAAAGUUUCGGCGGUUGGGGAUGGACUCGCGGCUUAUCAGCUUGUUGGUGGGGCAGUGGCUUACCAAGGCUUUGACGGGUAGCCGGCCUGAGAGGGUGACCGGCCACAUUGGGACUAAGAUACGGCCCAGACUCAUACGGGAGGCAGCAGUGGGGAAUAUUGCACAAUGGGCGGAAGCCUGAUGCAGCAACGCCGCGUGCGGGAUGACGGCCUUCGGGUUGUAAACCGCUUUCGCCUGUGACGAAGCGUGAGUGACGGUAAUGGGUAAAGAAGCACCGGCUAACUACGUG